rnacentral:rRNA from 1 species
UGAGAGGUUGAACGGCCACAUUGGGACUGAGACACGGCCCAGACUCCUACGGGAGGCAGCAGUGGGGAAUAUUGCACAAUGGGGGAAACCCUGAUGCAGCGACGCCGCGUGGAGGAAGAAGGUCUUCGGAUUGUAAACUCCUGUUGUUGAGGAAGAUAAUGACGGUGCUCAACAAGGAAGUGACGGCUAACUACGUGCCAGCAGCCGCGGUAAAACGU